UACAGAGGGUGCGAGCGUUAAUCGGAGUUACUGGGCGUAAAGGGCGCGUAGGCGGUGGGAUAUGUGUGAUGUGGAAGCCCUGGGCUUAACCUGGGAAGUGCAUCGCAAACUAUCUGACUGGAGUAUAAGAGAGGGUGGCGGAAUUUCCGGUGUAGCGGUGAAAUGCGUAGAGAUCGGAAGGAACGUCAAUGGCGAAGGCAGCCACCUGGCUUAAUACUGACGCUGAGGCGCGAAAGCGUGGGGAGCGAACAGG
rnacentral:rRNA from 1 species